GAAGGUUGGAGCUGUCCUGGCCUUGAUUCCUGACCCCAUUGUCGGAGGGACCCUGCUACUGGGGCUCGGAAUGGUGGCCUCUGUAGGUAUAUCAGUUUUACAGUUUUGUGAGCUGUUCUCUACACGGAAUAUCACGAUCAUAGGAGUUUCUUUCUUGAUGGGUCUAAUGAUACCACAAUGGCUGAUUGAGAGCGAGGCUAUUGUCAAAACAGGUGUGAGUUCACGGCUUUGUAAUACUUUUUCAAACCUUAUUUAUACACCUGACUAAAUAUACAUGUAGAACUCCCUAAAUGGAUUUGUAUAAAAAGAAUUUCUAAAUACAGAAGAUGUUGAAAUGAAUACUUUACUCUUACGCUUUCUUUAAGUGGACUGUUUUUCUGAAAUGUAUAUCAUUUAAUGCAUUUUGACAAAGGUUCUGCGGAACUGGAUCAGGUGAUCAAGGUGCUAUUCGGAACUGCCUCCUUCACGGGAGGUUUCAUAGGUUUCAUGCUGGAUAACAUUGUUCCUGGCACCGAGUACGAACGCGGAUUAAAACGCUGGGUGGAAGUGAAGGGUUCCCAACAAAAGGGGGACGAGGCGACCCUUUACUCUUUCCCUGUUCUGACGUCAAUACUUGAGAGGAUGCGGUGCUGCGGUUACUUCCCCCUUUCUCCAACCUUCACCUCGUGUAGGAGACCACGACACUUGAACUAUGAUGUUAAAAAUGAAAACGUUGAUUUAAAAGACGUGAAAACAGUUUAAUGUAAACCCCCCACUGUGAGACCUUCGCAGUGUAAUAAACUUAAUUAAUUUAAAACAGAAUGUAAGAGGGCUGUAAACUUAAAUUGAAUUUAAAAUUCAAGAAUUUAAUUUGAUUUAUAAAUAUUUCAGCGUAAUAUUUUACAUGAAUGUAGAACCUGUACAAUGAUAUCGCUAUGUGUUAUGCAAUUGCGAUUCACUGGGAUGUAAAUAAAAAUUAUAUGUUGCUUUUUUAAAUCCUUAAAAGUCAAUUUAUCUUCGUUAUAUAGUACUUGUACUCUGUCAUAUCUGGUCUGAUAUAUAUAGAAUGUUGUGAACACAAAGAAGAAAAAAAACGUAUUUAAGGUUGUAUAGGACAACUUCAUAUUGUGACGUGCUUCCUAUCGAAAUAAACAGUAAAAU
rnacentral:misc_RNA from 1 species